GUAAUCAGGAAAUAGCACACAGGAGGGGACACAGCUGGAACUAAUGGACAUAACGAGACACAAACCUACAAAGUAAAACAGGAAACACAGACUGUUUUACACAACCAACUGGGGACACGAGAGAACACAGAGGAGAGACACAGAGUUGAAUGAGCAUGCCCAGCCAUACAGAGGGGGUCAGGCCAGGACUGUUUGGGACCGCCCCAAGUACAACAGCUCAGCACAUCAUUGUGGUUGGGUUCUGCUCACUCUGGGGCGGAGUCAGUUUCCAGCACUCGUCAAUGGACACCUGCACUCCAUCAAGUGUGCACCGGUCUCUUUACCUGGUUUCUCCAGGGCUCUCUCUGUCACAUGGCACCUCUGUAUCCAGCAUCCUUUAGCAGAUCUACCAGGACAGUAAACAGAGGCUGAUCCCUAUGUGAUUAACGUAGGUGAAGCUCUGGGAAUAUCUGGAAAUUUAUUUUUCCCCCUGUGGUGAAAACUAUACAUUUUGCAUAUCUUUAAAAAUAAAAUGAGAAACAUUAUCUUAAUGUUUCAAAGA